rnacentral:rRNA from 1 species
AAUUUUGGACAAUGGGCGCAAGCCUGAUCCAGCCAUGCCGCGUGUGCGAUGAAGGCCUUCGGGUUGUAAAGCACUUUUGGCAGGGAAGAAAAGGCGCCGGCUAACACCUGGCGCCGCUGACGGUACCUGCAGAAUAAGCACCGGCUAACUACGUGCCAGCAGCCGCGGUAAUACGUAGGGUGCAAGCGUUAAUCGGAAUUACUGGGCGUAAAGCGUGCGCAGGCGGUUCGGAAAGAAAGAUGUGAAAUCCCAGGGCUUAACCUUGGAACUGCAUUUUUAACUGCCGGGCUAGAGUAUGUCAGAGGGGGGUAGAAUUCCACGUGUAGCAGUGAAAUGCGUAGAGAUGUGGAGGAAUACCGAUGGCGAAGGCAGCCCCCUGGGAUGAUACUGACGCUCAUGCACGAAAGCGUGGGGAGCAAGCAGG